GGGGUUGUAGUUUAAUAAAUUAAAACAUUUAAUUUGCAAUUAAAAGAUAUUAUUUUUCUUCCUCA
rnacentral:tRNA from 1 species